rnacentral:sRNA from 1 species
UUUCCCGUUCACUGUCUUUCUCUCUCUUCCUUCACGAUUUCUCACUCUCUCUGUCUCUCUCCUUCGAACUCACACGGACCACCACCAAAACCACCCUAAAUCUAUACCAACGUCAAGUUUGAGACCACCAUUGGAAUCCUGAGGACUUCACGAUCACGUUGGUAUCCAUUUCAGGACAAUCCAAGCUCAUAGCAAGCUUGGUGAGGUCCCAAGGAAGCUCGGAGUGCUUCGUUGGAAGUUUUUGGACAUAAGAACACGGAGAUCGACAAGUUCAAAGUUUGGCCGGAGCUUUCGAGGCGUUUUCCGGCGAAUCCCCGGCGAGUUAGGAGUCAAGUUUCCGGCGACCUCCGAGGCUUUCGAGGCAGUUUCCGGCCAAACCACGGCGAACUAGGUGUUGUGCAAGUUUUGGAAAUUGACGGAGAUCCGACCGUUGGAUGGCGCCGAUCGUCAUGACGCCUUGGCGUAUUGUGCUAGGGAGUUGUAGGGCGAACUCCAGGUUCAGGAAUCACAAAGGUGUGGUGACUACGAGGAAUUCGACGGUGUUCUGACAGAUUGGACAAAAUUAGGACUCACCUUCGGGUGUAUCAAUUUAAAUUGUAUCUUAAAGCUUCCGUACUGU